rnacentral:lncRNA from 1 species
CCCGGGCCCACCCGUAGUUACGUCCCUGUGCAGUUACAGCGUACGGAAAACUUUUUUUUACCCACUGUAUUUCUAUCUCGAAAGACUUUUUGUCUUCGAAUACUUCGUUGUCUUAUUAUAUAAUGUUUGUGAGUAAAAACGUUGUCAUUAUGUUUAAUUUUAAUAAAAAUUAAAAACAGAGAGAGAACUGUGCUGAACUUUUACUAUUUUACAACAUGCACAGUACUCGAACCCAGAAUUUGUCAUCAUCUGCGCAUCCAGCAUAUUGCUGCAAAGUGUUGCGGGUGCUUCGGAUCACUUGCAAACUUAUCAAAAGGUUUCGUCACAGUGUCUGUGAUCGCAUGAUCGGUAAAAAUUUUAUGCAUUUGAAACAACUGGUAAAUGGCCUAAGUUAUCAGACUUGCAACUAUACCGAGCGGUAACUGUUUUAUGCAUAUGGAUCUGAAACAACUGGUAAAUGACGUAAGUUA